AUCGCUUCUUGGCCUUUUGGCUAAGGUCAAGUGUAGUAUCUAUUCUUGUCAGUUUAAUAUCUGAUACGUCCUGUAUCUGAGGGCAUUAUAUUAAAUGGAUAUUUGGAGCUCGGAAAUGGAAUAGCAGCUUGCUCCAUUCACUCUGCACAUCGACCUGGUAUGGUAGUACUUCCAGGAAUGGUACACCCCCU